AUGGUUGGCGGCGGUAGAAAUCAUCCGGCGGCAGCUCCUGUUCGUGUUCUGGUUACCAAAACACUUUGUUUCGGGGUAAAAUCCCAGGAACAAUGGCGAGUGAUGCUGCAAUUGGAGGAGUCUUCUACGGAGGCGAUAUGUAUCACUCCUCUGUUCGGGUUAUCGUGGUACGACAGUAAAAUUCCUCUCAGAGUCAGUGAUACAAGAUGGGACUUAACCAAGUCUGUCAUCGAUGAGGCAGAAGUAGCAGAUCUGUUAGCUAUGAAAGCAUAUUUUGCUGCCCACAAGGGAGAAACAGAUGAACUUAAGGAGGAUGUUGGGCAAGGAUGUGAAGCCGAUUAA
rnacentral:rRNA from 1 species